rnacentral:rRNA from 1 species
UACGAAGGGGGCUAGCGUUGUUCGGAAUCACUGGGCGUAAAGCGCACGUAGGCGGAUCUUUAAGUCAGAGGUGGAAAUCCCAAGGCUCAACCUUGGAACUGCCUUUGAUACUGGGGAUCUUGAGUCCGGGAGAGGUGAGUGGAACUGCGAGUGUAGAGGUGAAAUUCGUAGAUAUUCGCAAGAACACCAGUGGCGAAGGCGGCUCACUGGCCCGGUACUGACGCUGAGGUGGCGAAAGCGUGGGAGCAAACAGGG